rnacentral:misc_RNA from 1 species
CCAAACUUGGUCAUUUAGAGGAAGUAAAAGUCGUAACAAGGUUUCCGUAGGUGAACCUGCGGAAGGAUCAUUAGUGAAUAAACUUGUGUGGGUUGUUGCUGGCUCCCUCGGGGGUAUGUGCACACCUGCUCAUUGUUUCAUUUCUCCCUUCCACCUGUGCACUCUCUGUAGACCAAACUGUGACUUCUGUCAGGUAUAUCUAUACCUGGUGUGAGGAUUUGCUCAGGCUAUCCUUGUAUGGUUUGGUCUAUGUUUUUAUUGAACCAAUUGUAUGUUAUUGAAUGUCUUGUGUUGGGUUAUACAACCCAUAAAUUUAUACAACUUUCAACAACGGAUCUCUUGGCUCUCGCAUCGAUGAAGAACGCAGC